rnacentral:lncRNA from 1 species
GGCCGUGGCCGGGAGGGCCUUUGCACAACUAAAACUUGUGCACCAGCUGCGACCAUACCUCGAGAAGUCUGAUCUGACCAGGGUGGUCCAUGCCUUAGUUACCUCUACACUGGACUAUUGCAAUGCGCUCUACGUGGGGCUGCCUUUGAAGACGGCCCGGAAAUUACAACUAGUACAGCGUUCGGCAGCCAGGCUUCUAACCGGAGUGAAUUACAGGGCGCGUUCAACGCCUCUCUUUAAGGAGCUUCACUGGCUGCCAUUUACUUUCCGGGCCCAAUUCAAGGUGCAAAGCCCUAAACGGUUUGGGACCCUCCUACCUUAGAGACCGCAUCUCCCUCUAUGAACCCACACGUUCUCUUCGCUCGUUGGGGGAGGCCCUUCUCUCGCUCUCACCACCCUCACAGUCACGGUUGGUGGGGACGAGAGAGAGGGCCUUCUCCGUCAUGGCCCCCCGGCUUUGGAACUCUCUACCUAGAGAGAUCAGGCAGGCCCCUACCCUCCUCUCCUUCUGGAAGAGCUUAAAAACCUGGCUGUUUCAAAAGACCUUAGAUGUUUAGUUGUUGCUGGAUUGAUUUAUCUGUCCAUUCCAUAAUAGUCCCAUUGUUUUUGUCUUGCCAUUUUAUACCGCACUUUAUUGUCCAACUGUGAAAUUUCCUUUUCCCAUUUCGUAUCACUCUGCAUUUCGCCUGGGAUCUACGAAUUAGUCUCCUGUUUUUAACACUGUAUCCUGCUUGUUGAUUUUAAUGAUUGUUUUUAUUGAUGUUGAUGUUUUUUACUGGGAUAAUUGUUUUAUUGCUUUGUUACUGUUUUGUUUGUUUUAUCGGGCCUGGCCCCAUGUAAGCCGCCCUGAGUCCCUUCGGGGAGAUGGGGCGGGGUAUAAAAAUAAAGUUAUUAUUAUUAUUAUUAUCGUUUGGUCUAAAACAACUCUCUGAAUUCUAUUUUAAUCUGCAGGGAGACUGCUAGUUUAAGAGUCAGUGCUACCCUAUUAAAGUGCAACUUUAUUCUUGCUGUUAGAUAAAUUUGAUCAUAUUUG